CAGAAAGGCCUACUGCCUCUAAAAAUGUGGUUUAAAGUAGGGUAGCUCAUUCUGUCAGGUAGAAAAUAUUUAUCAGAAUGGCCUACUUCCUCUAUGAAUGUGGUCAAAAGUAGGGUCGCUCAUUCUGUCAUGUAGGAAAUAUGAAUCAGAAUUGCCUACUUCCACUAUAAAUG